GACGAACGCUGGCGGUGUGCUUAACACAUGCAAGUCGAACGGAAAGGCCUGUCCUUCCUUGUGUUGGACGGGUACUCGAGUGGCGAACGGGUGAGUAACACGUGAGUGAUCUGCCCCCAACUUGGGUAUAAGCCUGGGAAACUGGGUCUAAUUCCCGAUAGGACUGCAGGGUGGUGCCUGUGGUGGAAAACGAUUUUCUAGUGGUUGGGGAUGAGCUCGCGGCCUAUCAGCUUGUUGGUGGGGUAAUGGCCUACCAAGGCGGCGACGGGUAGCCGGCCUGAGAGGGUGGACGGCCACAUUGGGACUGAGAUACGGCCCAGACUCCUACGGGAGGCAGCAGUGGGGAAUAUUGCACAAUGGGCGGAAGCCUGAUGCAGCGACGCCGCGUGGGGGAUGACGGCCUUCGGGUUGUAAACUCCUUUCGACCGCGAGGAAGCCGCCUGGUUGGAAGGGUGGUGACGGUAGUGGUAGAAGAAGCACCGGCUAACUACGUG
rnacentral:rRNA from 1 species